CCUUGAAAACCACAUGAAACCAAUCCUCUGAAUAGGGUGUGAUGGAAUGAAACCAUGCUACAGAUGAAGAUAGAUUACAAGGACUUUAAGAAAGGGAAAGGGGAAAAAGACUCAUAUGAGAAGAGUUCUCAGUAGCUGAUGCAGACUGAUCCAUAAACAUCCAUACUUAUUAUCUGGAAGUAUAAAUUGCCGAAGCAAGAAGACUGUUAAAAGAAAAAAAAAAGAAUAGCUGC
rnacentral:lncRNA from 1 species